AGUGAACGCUGGCGGUAGGCCUAACACAUGCAAGUCGAACGGCAGCACAGUAAGAGCUUGCUCUUACGGGUGGCGAGUGGCGGACGGGUGCGGAAUACAUCGGAAUCUACUUUUUAGUGGGGGAUAACGUAGGGAAACUUACGCUAAUACCGCAUACGACCUACGGGUGAAAGCAGGGGAUCUUCGGACCUUGCGCGAUUGAAUGAGCCGAUGUCGGAUUAGCUAGUUGGCGGGGUAAAGGCCCACCAAGGCGACGAUCCGUAGCUGGUCUGAGAGGAUGAUCAGCCACACUGGAACUGAGACACGGUCCAGACUCCUACGGGAGGCAGCAGUGGGGAAUAUUGGACAAUGGGCGCAAGCCUGAUCCAGCCAUACCGCGUGGAUGAAGAAGGCCUUCGGGUUGUAAAGCCCUUUUGUUGGGAAAGAAAAGCAGCAGGUUAAUACCCCGCUGUUCUGACGGUACCCAAAGAAUAAGCACCGGCUAACUUCGUG
rnacentral:rRNA from 1 species